GCUGCCUUUGAUCAGAAGCUCAAUAUUUCCACUUCAAAAAAACUGCUUAAUAUUUUUUUUUUCAUUGCAAAAAGACUUAGCUAAGGACAUCCUGGCUGAAAAAGGUCAGCUUCAUCAGAAUGAACAUUUCAACUUGUAGUGGUGGCUGCUCUGAUUUGUUUUUGCCUCAUUGGCCUAUGUGGAGGAAUGUGCUCUACUAGAGAGGGGAUUGAAGUAUGGUUUUCUAGAUGAAUUAUUCCCAGGACAAUGAUGUCAAUUCUAAAACUGAGAGAGAGAAUCUUUUAUGUCAAGAGAUGCUUUUUACAUAGAUUCAAAGUGUUAACUUGACAGGGCAUGCAGCACCAGUGGAAGACCCUAAGUAGGAG